rnacentral:misc_RNA from 1 species
CAACCCUCAAGCUAUGCUUGGUAUUGGGCCUCGCUAGAAAUAGCGUGCCUUAAAAUCAGUGGCGGUGCCGUGUGGCUCUAAGCGUAGUAAUUUCUCUCGCUCUUGAUGUCAUAUGGAUACUUGCCAUUAACCCCCAAUUUUUAAA